GUGAAUUGGAUGUCAGAUGACGUCAGAUGACAAUUUGACAGUUUUGAUUAGGUAGACCAUCCUAUUCUUUGUAUCCUUACAUAAACACAACGUGCUAUCAAAGCUACUAUAGACAACCGUUGUAACAGUGGCCUAUAUUUAAGUGACCAUUAUCGCAUUAUUUUUCAAGUAAAAGGAAAAUAAUGUUAAUAUUAAUGAAGCAAAAUGGAGGUUAUGUAGAAGACUACAAAAGGGCCCGGAAAUAAAUGAAAAGAACUACAGUGGGAAUUUAUAUGAUAUACAAUAAGUUACUAAUUUUAAAAUAAGUAAACACUCGCAUGCAGUCCACACCCGGCCUGCAACCUCGUGUGUAAAAUGACACUUUCCACGUCCGUUAUGUUAUAUAGUAGGUAUUCAGUGAUUAGAGAUUUUAGCCGAACUUUAUAAUUGAUGUGGUUGAAGUAAUAUACAUCUCGGAAAGUAAAAGAUAAGUUGUGAAUCGCCUGCCAAGUUUAAAAUGCUGCCCUCCACAUUUGCCAUCCUGUGCAUGGGAUUGAUUGCUGUUACUGAAAAUCGUGUAUGUAACAAAAUAUAAAUGAUACCGUAUUAUAAAGUGUUUAUGUUGAUGAUCUAGUAAUGUUACCACACACGAAAAUGUUAAAGCAGUCUACGAUAUCUUUAUGUGAAUUCUUUUUUUCCCAACUUGAUCUCUUAUGAGUUAGUGUUUAUUAUGCUAUAUUCACAAAUAAUGAAAUUGGAAAUCUAUUUGCACCUGGAGAUUUAACAGCAUUUUCAAAUCCUUCAGAUAUCUUUAGAAAUUCGUAUAAAAGGAGAUGUCCUCUCUGCGACCCCUCUAUCUACAGUUAUUGUAC